GAGCCAGCUUGCGUUCAAAUCCCAGAACUCAUAUGGAUGGAAAGAGAGGAUAGAUUCUCCAUGCACGUAUGCACAGUAAUACGGUUUUGGGUUUUGUUUUUAAAGUAUAGCUUUUGUCGUCAAAGAACGUUAUUCUCCAUGACCUCGGUGACGAUGCAAUACUACUAGUAAAAGUACAAUCCAUGUCAGUAUUUAUUCAGUUUCAAAUAAUCUGCCUUUCCUUAUAUUCUGUAACAGGCUGGGAUUGUGGCGCAGUUGGGAGAGUGCUUCAUCUAUCAUGCACGAGAGCCUAUAUUUAGUUCCCAGCACUGAAACAAAACAAGACAACCAAUAAAACACUUCUCCUGCUCUCUUCUCUCCUCUCUUCUGCCCAGGCUGAUCCUGAAUUAAUGAUUUUCUUGCCAUACUUGGCGGAGAGGUGAAACUUUAUAAAUGGGCGUAACUCAGUGGUAGAGUACCUGUCUAACAAGUGAAAAGCCGUAAAUUCGGUCCCCAGAAGUAAAAGGUCUCAUUUGAUCCUCCUGCCUCCAUCUUUCAGCCGCUGGGAUUGCAAUGUGCACCACCACUCCCAGCUCCUGGACUUAAAAAACAAAACAACAAGCGCCCCAAACACUCUUAAGAUCGCUAUGCUUUUGAGAAUAAUACUUUGUUUUGUUGCUUUCCCCUCAGAUUUGUUUGAUGUAACCUCUUCAAACACACUCCUGUGUCCCCACUGGGAGCUUUUCCUAGCUUUCUCUCACUUCUCCAGGUCCCCACUGUCCUUGCUGCUACCAUUUCUCUGAAAAUCUGGCUGUGUCUGUGGAGCAGUGUUUUAGACACCAUGAAGACAUCCUGUCCAUAGUCAGCCGUGGGAGCAUGGCUGUAUGCAACUUUGGCACAGGAUGGUGGUGGUGAUUGUUAUUGUUUUCAUUGAAAGAUUCUAAAGAUUUUUCACUUUUGAGAUUAUAAUUACAUAAUUCUCCCUUCCUUUUCCUUCCCAUAUACCUCUCCUUGCUGUUUUUCAAAUUCAUGGACUCCUUUAUUGUUAUUGUAACAGGGCUCCAAACCUUAGUCGGCCCCGAGACCUUAGCACAACUGACUCCAUGAUGGAGUGCCAUUCAGGCUGUAAAACUCAGCUUGCCCAUAGCAGCACCACCUGCUAAAAUGAAAACAAAGACUUACUCCACCAAAGUCCAUGGCUCUGGUUCCCAUUGCCUCUGCUUUUGGAUGAGGAAACUGUCGUUUAAGGAGGACGUCCAAAACUGUGAUUAGUAAUAUGCUGAGGGGAAACUGAGGCAAUGUCGGGAAAGCUGCACCAAUCACACUGCGAAAGUCUGGAUCAAGCAAGACCAGAAGUCGAGGCAGAAAGGACGAGAUCAGCUGCUGGUUCAGCUGGACAGGUCUGGUUAAGGCUUGCUCACCGUCAGCCUCGAGAGAUGGCUCAACUGCCACGAUCUCUGACUGCCCCUGCAGAGGACCCAGGUUCAAUUCCCAGCACCCAUGUGGCAGGCCACAACAUUCUAUGACCCCAGUUUGAAGAGAGCCAACACUGUCUUCUGGUUUCCAAGGGCACCAGAAAUGCAUGGUACACAGACAAGCAGACAGACAGACACAUAAAAUGAAAAUAUAUAGAUCUUUAAAAAAGGAAGGAAAGAAAGAGGAGAAAGGUUAGAUCAGCCACUAAUUCAAGGAUUCAGGGUUCAACCAUGUUUUUUACAAAGAAAGAAAUUUAAAGGAAGGAAAGGGUGCUGCUGGUAAGACAGCCCAACAGGUAAAGGGCCUUGCCAUCCAGUUUGAGAAUGGAGUUCAAAUCCCCGUACCCCAAGUGGGAGGAGAGAACGACUCCAGCAGGUUGGUCCUUGACCUCCACGUGUGCACUGUGGCACCUGCAUACCCUGUCACCAUCCACUAAUGCAGGCUUAAUCCUAGAAUCAGCCAGUAGGUGGAGAUGCUCCCUGUCUAUCAUAGAAGUGUUCAGGAAAUAGAAUCGAAUUGAUUCCUUUGGGAUUUUGAAAACGACAACAACAGACUCAUGCUCUCGGUGUGUGAAUGUUUCCACUGUCUAGGACAUGGCACACAGUUGUGGCAGCCUUUCCUGUGUCCUUGUCGGCUGUGGCUGCCGUCCUUCCCCUCUCUUUCAUUUCAUAUUAUCUACUCGGUGUUUCUAGGAAAGGGUCACCAAGGUUGAGCUACAGCCAUUGCUCUGUCAUUUCCUGUUCUGCUCAGGUCCCUGGAAAUACCUCCACACCAAUAUCAGCUAAUGGUGGCAGCCCAGGGCGAUAGGCAACUCCACCUCUGGAAUCCGCCCCAGCUGCUCGCUCAAUGCCUGAGUGCAUUCAUUGGCCCCUGACUCUCGAGAGACACUUCUUAGGGGUGACAUCACACUGAGAGGACGCCGUGCUGUAAGUCUGCAGACCGGAGCAGACUAGAGCCUAGUGCUUUUCUUACCCCAUCCCAUGGAAAGGACAUACUGGAAUAUGUAAAACAGCACUCCACACCAUGUGGCUAAUAAAUGUCAUUUCUCUACAUUCUGACUGCUCACCUGACCUUAUAGGGAACUAGGGAGAAAAAUCACCAUUAAGUCUCAACCUGUGUGUACUUCAGACAUUGAGUGUCCCCAAAAGCCUUUGUCGAAGGCUUGGUUCCAAAGGAGCCACUGUUAGAGAUGGUGGAGCCUAGUGAAAGGUAUCUCGGGAUGGGGAGGAGCUCUACUGGAAAAGGGUUACAGGCUCCUGCUUCCUCUCCUCUCUUUGAUUCCCUGUUCAUGGUUUAGUACCAUUCCUCUACCACACUCUGGUCAUGACGUGUGGCCUUCUCAGGGCACAGCUUGUCAGGGGCCCAAAGCAAUGAGCUACUUAAUCACAGACCGGAAGCUACAGAACUAUGAGCCAAAAUAAACCUUUUUCUGAUCCA
rnacentral:sRNA from 1 species